rnacentral:lncRNA from 1 species
ACGUUUGUGAACAAAGUCAUAACCGAAACCAAAAUUUAGGGUUUUUUUAGGCCUUGAAGGAGCAGAGGAGAAGAGACCGACGUCGAUUCAAGACUCGAAACUAGAGGGAACUGAGACACCGUCAAGAACCCCCUCACCAAACCCUAACAUUGCCUGCAGAGAGAGAACGACAGAGUGCUGCUUAGGUUUUCGUGACAGCGGGAGAAAUAGAGUGGUGGUGGUCGAUGGACACAGAAACUGCCGAGAGAGGAAGAGAACCGUGACAGCGGGAGAAAUAGAGUGGUGGUGGUCGAUGGACACAUAAACCGCCGAGAGAGGAAGAGAACCGUGACAGAGAGCUGAGAAAGGGAGAGAAGCCAGAAGCGUUAGGUCGGCAAUCAAAGGCCAAUAACUCCCCAAUACAUGUGCUUUUAUAUGGAGGGCAGUUUGGUCAUUUCACGUUCACAAGUGAUUAUAUCAGAACACAAUUUGUAACCUGAUCAUUUCAG